AAAGUCGUAACAAGGUUUCCGUAGGUGAACCUGCGGAAGGAUCAUUAACGAGUUUGAAAAGAGUUGUAGCUGGCCUUCCGAGGCAUGUGCACACUCUGCUCAUCCACAUACACCUGUGCACAUUGAUAGUUUUUUGGGGGACGGAAGCCUUAGGGUGAAAAUCUCUUAGAAAGCUAUUCUACACAUACGCUUCAGUUAAGAAUGUAUCUAUUGCUAUAAACGCAUUAAAUAUAACUUUCAACAACGGAUCUCUUGGCUCUC
rnacentral:misc_RNA from 1 species